UACGUAGGGUGCAAGCGUUGUCCGGAAUUAUUGGGCGUAAAGAGCUCGUAGGCGGUCAGUCGCGUCUGCUGUGAAAACUCGGGGCUUAACUCCGGGCCUGCAGUGGGUACGGGCUGACUAGAGUGCGGUAGGGGAGACUGGAAUUCCUGGUGUAGCGGUGAAAUGCGCAGAUAUCAGGAGGAACACCGGUGGCGAAGGCGGGUCUCUGGGCGUAACUGACGCUGAGGAGCGAAAGCAUGGGGAGCGAACAGG
rnacentral:rRNA from 1 species